GGGUGAGUAACACGUUGAUAACCUACCUAUAAGACUGGGAUAACUUCGGGAAACCGGAGCUAAUACCGGAUAAUAUUUUGAACCGCAUGGUUCAAAAGUGAAAGACGGUCUUGCUGUCACUUAUAGAUGGAUCCGCGCUGCAUUAGCUAGUUGGUAAGGUAACGGCUUACCAAGGCAACGAUGCAUAGCCGACCUGAGAGGGUGAUCGGCCACACUGGAACUGAGACACGGUCCAG
rnacentral:rRNA from 1 species